rnacentral:rRNA from 1 species
GAUGAACGCUGGCGGCGUGCCUAAUACAUGCAAGUCGAGCGAUGCGGGGGAGGGGGCGUAACACGUGGAUACACUGCUAUAAGACUGGGAUACAUUCGGGAAACCGGAGCUAAACCGGAUACUUAUAGAUUGAUGCACGGUGCAUUAGCUAGUUGGUAAGGGAACGGCUUACCAAGGCAACGAUGCAUAGCCGACCUGAGAGGGGGAUCGGCAACACGGGAACGAGAACACGGCCCAGACUCCUACGGGAGGCAGCAGUGGGGAAUCUUCGGCAAUGGGCGAAAGCCGGACGGAGCAACGCGGCGUGAGGGAGGAAGGUCUUCGGAUGGUAAAACUCUGUUAUUAGGGAAGCGGUACCUAAUCAGAAAGCCACGGCUAACUACGUGCCAGCCGCCGCGGUAAUAC